UUUUGGGCUAUGGGGGGUGUUCUUCGAAAAAAAAGGAAGAAGGAAACAGAGCAAAACCAGGGGAAGAGAGAGAGAGAGAGGGAGAGGGAGAGAGAAAAUAGGAUGAAGUGGGAGGAACCUGCAGAAGCAGAGGAAUCUCCGUGCAUGUCCCUGAAAGCCCAAUCCUGUGGUCACCUGUUUCCUUUCCAACCUCUCUUUCUCGGAGAUUUUGGUUAUAGGUUUGAAGGUUAAACUAUUUGAGGAAGUUUCAUGGGAUUUAUUUGCAUCUAAGACUUGAAACGAGAUAAGCUUCUAACUGCGCGGAAGAACCACUUUUUGAUAUCGGGGAUCAGCUCGGAGAACUAGGGUUGAUCUCGGCUGUGACUGCCCGUUAGAUGACAACAAUUCUGGCUUCAGGGAGUUCCUCCAUGAGCAGCACCUGCCGCUGUAUCCGACAUCGUCUACCUUUCUGAGGAAGAUGAGGCCCCCGAGGAACCAGAGGAGGAGGGUGAUUGGUGGACGACCCAGCUCCACCUCGAUCUGCCAUUGAUUGUGCAUAAGAUUCCACACCGAACUUGAGACCAAUCGCCUCGAAUGAUGAGGCCGGUUUUGGUGGCAGGGUGUCGCGACUCUGUUUCCAGAGAAUUAUCUCGAUCAACAGGGCAUGCUGAUGUAUACCGACAUCCCCAGUGUAUCCAAUCCGACGAAAGAUAUGUUUAUAUGUGGAGCGGUUGAUGUCCAGCCUCGACCGGCUGUUUAUGGAGGGUCUAGAUUCCACGCCAUCAUCUAGAUGGAUCAGCUUCUCAGAGACCUCUCCUCUGCUUGUGGAUGCGUAGAUGUGGCGGGGCCAACAGAUUGCUGCGACCCACUCAGUCUUUUCUGGACAGAUCAUUGUACUCCCAAGCGAUACCAGUUGAUCGAGCACUCAGAGACGCAACAAGCCUUUGUUGGGGUUGGCUGCUAGUAUGUGAAACACCUGGGCGACUUCCUUGCUCUCUUCCAAGAACUUGACCGCGAGGUCCUUGCCCAGAAUAUCGCAUCCAGAUGCAAAACCUAGAGCCCUGACAAUGUCUUUCAUCAUGUUUUGGCAGUUGGUGCUCCAAAGGUCCCUGAGUUGUUACUGCAAUUCGACUUCCGGAACACAAGCAAUGGUGGCCUCAGAAUAUUCAAGGGUGGAAGUGGUAUCCUUUUCAAGUGUCCUAAGUCUGAUGUAGUCCGGGAUUUUAUAGUUGGGUGUGGACCCCGAGCGUCAUCGAGACCUGCUGGAACUGGACCACCUGGUUUUGAGGUGGUUGAGGACAACUUUAGAUGAUAGACUGACUCAAUCAGCAAGUUCUACAGUCCUAGUAGUAUCUCUAGAUAGAGCUAAAUUGCUAAUCUCUGUACCCGUCAUGAGCUAAUUGUAAUCUCUGCUUGCUUAGUUUAUGAAGGCAAUUAUAAAAUUCUUUUCGCAUUU